ensembl:lncRNA
UAAUAUAAAUAACAUGAGCAGUGAAAAUUUAUCUUCGAACUUAAUAAAUAAUUUAUCCGCAUAUAACAAAACCAGUAACAUAAAUGUUAUAAGUUCAUCAACAUUAAAUCAUAUACAAGAGUUUAAUGUUUCCUCACCCACAUAUAUUGAUAAUAUAAAUAGAAGCCCAUCGAGUAGUAAUUUAUGCUAUAAUAGUGCUUAUAAUUUAACAAAAGAAAACCUUAACCUUAUCGAAAAUAAAAAUAUAAACACUAUUACUACUGUUACUGGUGCUUUAACUAAUACAUCUUCCAAUUAUAUGAAUAACAUAGUUAAAAAGGGUAGAGGUUUGUUUAAUAAAAUAAACUCAUCUCAAAGUAAAAGCUUAUAUACCUCUAAAAAACUAUAUAAUAGUAAGGACACACAUGUAAAUAAAGGCCUACAUAAAGAUAAAAAUAUAUAUAAAAGGAAAGGUAAAUAUAGGAGUCAAUUCCCAUAUAAACGCGACAUUAUUACUGCCAAAAACUAUAACAAUAAUAAUAAUAAUAAUAGUGACUCCUAUAAUAAUAAUAAUAGUAGAGAUAUUAGUACUUAUAAUAAAAGCAUAAAUAACAAAAGUAUAAGUAACAAAAGUAUAAGUAACAAAAGUAUAAAUAACAGAAAGAAGAAUAACGAUAAUUAUGGAAACAAUAAUUAUAGCUGUGGCAAUAAUAAUGAAAAUUAUAAAAACAAAAAAAAUAAUAAUUAUAAAAUAAAUCAUAAUCUUAUUGCAAAUCCUCCAAUACGCGCAAAACAUAGAAAACCUUAUACAUUUAUACAGCAUCACAAUAGUAAUAAAAAUAAUAACAACAUAUUGAACACUAACAAACAUAUACAAAAGUAUGUGUUAAAACGUAAAAAUAACAAACAUAUUUCAAAUAAUUUUGUUAACUCUGUUAAUAUAAAUAAUAGUAACAAUAAUUAUAAUGAUAAAAUAAACGAGUGUGUCAAAACAAAUAACCACAUAAACAACUACAACAAUAGGUAUAUUCAUAAAAGCUAUACUACUUACAGAAUAAAGAAUAAUAAAACCAGAUUUUAUAAUAAACGUCCUAAACAAUCAGAUAACAUGUUUUAUGAAUAUAUAAACACAAAUAUAAAAGAUAAAUUUAGAUACCAAUAUAAGGCUGCUGGUAUAGUUAUUAUAAAAUCAAAUAUAGAGGAUAAUAAAGAAAAUGUUAAUAAAGAUAUAAAUUUAAAAAAUAUGAACGUACAAUUAUUAAUUGGUAAUGAUAAAAUAAAAAAUAAUGACAACAAAAUUCUUAAAGGGGAUAAUGUAAUUCAUGGUAUGAAUAAUUUAAAUAUAUUAGGAGGGAAAAAAAAACAAGACGAAAACAAUCCUGUAGAUACUGCUUAUAGGGAGGUUAGUGAAGAAAGUUUAUUUAUCUACAAUUGUUUUUUAUCAUAUUUUAAUCAUUUAUACUAUGUUAUGACAGAUAUACAAUUUUAUAACGGAAAACGUGACAUUGCUACUGCACAUGUGGGUAUAUUUAGUGAACAAUUUGUAAAAGCAACUGAGACUGAAAAAAGUUUGACGCUAAAUAUCGAAAAAACGGAGGGUAAAGAUGCGGAGGGUAAAGAUGCGGAGGGUAAAGAUGCGGAGGAUAAAGAUGCGGAGGGUAAAGAUGCGGAGGAUAAAGAUGCGGAGGGUAAAACCGUAAAAAUUAGUAAAGAUAGAAUUACGAAAUGUGAGCCUACCCAAUCAGAUACACCUGAAGACGUACAAGAAAUAUUUGAAAACAUGCUAAGAAUACAAUUCUUAAAAAAUAUAACAGAAUUAAAUAAUUCAGAGAAACAGAAACUGAUAGAAUCACAUGUUAAUAACUUUUUGUUAUAUUUUAAAGAACAAUGUGAAGAUUAUUACUAUAACCGUAAAAUUAUGUUAAGCUGUUCUUAUCCCCCUAGCUACUGUAACAAAAAAUGUGAUGUUUUAGAACAAAUACAUGAUCAAAUAAAUAUGUUUAAAAAAAUUGAAGAAGAAAAAGAAAAAAAUUUUAAAUUAUAUUUUAUAGAAGGUAAAUAUUAUGUAUUUUUUUAUAAUUGCCUUCAAUAUGAUUGUCAUAACAUUUUAGAAUAUUUGAAUAACUAUUUUUGGAAUAAUAUAAAUUUUUUUUUUGAUUACAUAUACGAUAAAAACAGAAUUUAUUUAGAAAAUAAGUCAAACA